rnacentral:rRNA from 1 species
AACGAACGCUGGCGGCAUGCCUAACACAUGCAAGUCGAACGAGACCUUCGGGUCUAGUGGCGCACGGGUGCGUAACGCGUGGGAACCUGCCCUUAGGUUCGGAAUAACUCCCCGACAGGGGUGCUAAUACCGGAUAAUUUCUUCGGACCAAAGAUUUAUCGCCUUUGGAUGGGCCCGCGUUGGAUUAGCUAGUUGGUAGGGUAAAAGCCUACCAAGGCGACGAUCCAUAGCUGGUCUGAGAGGAUGAUCAGCCACACUGGGACUGAGACACGGCCCAGACUCCUACGGGAGGCAGCAGUGGGGAAUAUUGGACAAUGGGCGAAAGCCUGAUCCAGCAAGGCCGCGUGAGUGAUGAAGGCCUUAGGGUUGUAAAGCUCUUUUACCCGGGAUGAUAAUGACAGUACCGGGAGAAUAAGCUCCGGCUAACUCCGUG